ensembl:lncRNA
GAUACAACCGUCUUACCAUGAUCUUUUAUGUAAUAAGUUUGGCAAUAAUAAUAAAAAAAGAGGUACAGGUGCACUACCACCUCACAGCAUCACUAACUCAACAGUCCAGUACAGUUUCUCUCAGCGACUCUGCAAUAUCUGCACAAACGAAACGCCGAACAGCUGCUCGAAGAUCUCACCUUUGGAGAAGAUUGUUGAUUUUAUACUCUAAAAAUACGGUGAACCCCACAUCUUACUAUCAUCUCAACACAGCUGAGACAGUUCUGCUGCUGCGCUGUGCUUCACAAUCUCACUCUUCUCAACGGGGAUGUCGUUGAGCAACAGGAUGAGGAAGACCUUGAUGACGGCUCUCUGAACCACACUACCUUGAAGCGAGAGCAGAAGAACACAUGCAGGACAAUCUGACUGCUGCUGUGUCUGCUCCAAACAAUCGUGUGCUGCUCUCCAUGAGCACCACUACCUGUCCUGCUCCACCACAAAAGAUCUGCAGCAAAUGCACAGAAAACAACAAUAAGAAAAGUGCUGUAAUAAUUGUUUGAAAUUACACUAAUUAAAAUGUUUCAUUUAUUUUUGUAGUGUACUUACACAAAUCCUUUGAUGGCAGCAUUCCUUCAUCAGUCACUCUACAGCAGAUAAACAUAAUCUGUUCCUGUAACAUCCAGACAAGAGUCAAUUUAACGGCGGUUGGCAUCCAGCUUAUUGGUGCAAUACCGCCCUCUUCUGUCCCGGAGUGUGGAUCAGAUAAUAGGUUUUCCUACUAAAGGUACGCAUCACUCACAUUGUCCACUACCAUUAAUAUCUACACACACCUUAUGCAUCAAAUCCUGCCUAAAACCCCUGCUUUCCUUAAAAAACGUAAUCAAUAUUCUACCCUGUGCCCUACUGAAAGCAGCCAACAACUUAUCAUUUUGACAUCUCGCGUGAUUCUGUGAGAUUUCGACAACUUCAAGUUACGCCUCCUACUUCAAGUUACGCCUCUUUCAAGUUACGCCCCUGUCUUGCAGUCUGCAGACGUACACGCUUGUGGUCAAGACGGACAGUUCUGAGCUCUCAAAGUGGAACAGAUACCUACGAGAUCAAAGGCAGAUAUCGCGUUAUUCUCACUCACGUGCUGUGUUGCUAAUAAACAUGAUAUAAUUUCAGUUCUGUUGCUUUUAUAUGAAAAUAAAUAUGAUGAACAAGACACUCAAGGUGCUUGCUAUUUAAUUCCAUACGAAAGCCGUAUUUAUCAUCCGUUUUUACUUUAAUACAAACAUGUAUUUUAGAUUUUUAUAGAAAUAUGACAACAAUCACAUAUCUCACACAUAUAUCGCACUGUAAUAGUGUUUGGGAAGAUUCAUGAAUAAUUUAAAUACAUAAUCACAUGAAAUCAGAUAAAAAAAUAAAAUAUUUUAGAAGAGAACGCAGCAUCACAGUUGUCUGAACCAAUGAGAUUUAAGCUGUGUCGUCAGUCAGUUGUUUCCCAUCAUGCUUUUGAUCAGCGCAGUCGGUGGAGAGCCACUGCACUCGACUGCUCAAUCCGACACAGCCUCGCCGUCGCGAGAGUUUUUCGGCACACGUCAGCAUGACAUCAGAGCAAGGCGGACGUAACUCGGACACUUUUCUAACCGGCAUGCAUCUCGCGGUGAUCACCGGUGAUCGGUUCUGCGCAGAUUUUGUUCAUCUCAAACAAGCCUAAAUUCUCUCCCCAAUGUGACGUAAUGCAAUGCAUUGUGGGGGAAAGGAGAAUCGUUGCAAACCGCUGUAAGAUAGUACCUACUUUUUCGUAUUUUAUUCCAUUUUGUGAUACCCAACAACAUAAAAUACAAUGGAUAACAGUUUAAAUGUUCAUUACCAACAAGCAAAUUGCACAAAUUCGUUGAAAAAUUAACCAUGCAACACGAGCUUUCGGCGGGUAGUCGCCAAUGGCGACCUCAGCAAAAACGUCACUCGCAAAUUAAUAUUUAUGGUCGCAAAUGCGACCGUUUUAGUCGCAGUUUGGGAAAAUGGCCAGCAUCAGUCCGUCCCCUGUAUUCAAUCUGCAUGCUUUGUUUAAAUUGUCGAGACAGGGGUAACUGCAGCCUGGAGGAAUGGGCGUGCCAAAAGGUUUCUCAUUGGUCAAAGGAGUUUUACUGUGUUGGCCAAUCAGCGGUAAAUAUACAUGUACGUAAUUUCCUUUAGACAAGAGAAGGUGGCGGCGAUAAGACACAUACUGUAUGUACAGUGAGACAAAACGAUGACCGCAUCUGCAUCGAAGGCGAAGACUUCAGAGCUGAUAGUUUGUAUCGGCGUCCUUUUUGUGCAAUACAGUACAGAAUACAUCCUGUAUCCAACUAAUGCAGAGUAUAUUCAAGUUGCCAACACACUGGUUGUGAAGAACCCUGUCCAGAGAAAUAUAAAAGGAAAUGACUGUGAAACUUGUGUUGGGGAGGAUUCAGUGUCUGUUGAGAACCAUGUGAAUGUGCUACAAAGUGAGUAUCAGAAAACACAUCCAGACACCUGGACUGUCAAAGACCACUCGGCACGAACAUUCUCCUGGAGAUGCUGAGAAAGCACAGAAGGAAUGUCUGUGGAGGAUGUACUCAAACACACCCAUACUUAAGGACACCUGCUGGAGGGGACCCUGCUACACCCUUUCCUACCAUACAGCUGAUGGAUACUGACUGGAAAAUGGUAAUCAUAGGAGGAGGGCUCAGUGUGGUGACAGAAGAUGGAAUAGACGUGUGCCAGUGCACCAGCCUUGAUGAAGCCUUCAUAACAGCCUUCUGUAUCAUUGACUGGAAGUCUGUCAGUCCAGAUGUGAGGAAGACCUACAGAGUGAGUUUGAGCUCAGCAGGUGUGAUGGCUGUGGAUGCAUCUACAAAAACACCACUGGAUACUGUAGCCAUGGAAAGAAGGGGGUCUUCACAGCUUUCUAUUCAGACAAAGAGUUUGCUGAAUUCUGUUCUAUGGACUGCUACUACAGAAUGAAUGAAUGAGUGGUUUAUCUAUCUAUCUAUCUGUCUGUCUAUCUAUCUAUCUAUAUAUAUUUUUUUUUUACUUGAAUUGGCGAAUGAAACUGAAAGCUAAAUAAAUGUUUUAGUGGAUAAAGCUGUGUCUGUUUGCUUAUGUCACUGACUUCUGUCUUCUGACUAAUUUUUAAAUUUUAUAAUUUAGUGGUUUUGUCAACUAUAUAUUUUUCUCUAUCAGGCAAAACAGUUUUCGAG